ensembl:lncRNA
AUCGAACCCACAACCUUUUGCACUGCUAAUGUAAUGCUCGACCACUGAGCCACAGGAACACUUGUCUCAGAAAGAUACACAUAAUUCAUAAUAUUGCUUUGUCCAGAGAAAAAAGUCAUGCUGUCUAAAUCAUAAGAGAAAUGUGCAGAGUAAUAAAAACAGUCCAAAAUAGUUCUGAAGAAAUAUGUUGGUAUUUUGAUGUGAGAGGACAACAGGGAUGAAGAAGCAUGAUGAAGGGUGAAAUCAUUUUUGGGUGAACUGUACCUUUAAAGCACUGAGAAUAGCAGCUGUUUUAAAGACAUUUUGGAUGUUACACAGUAUUUGCAUAUUCAGACAUAAAAAAAAAACCCUCUCAAUCACUUCCUCUUUAAUGGCUUGUUUUUGCUGCAGUUCAGAUGCUGAACUGAAAAAUGUGUUUAUAAGUGAUAUUUAAAGAGGAAAGAAAGUCAGUUUCUGUCAUUAAAAGGGUGCAGAGGAGAAAAUGAGUUUCUCACUCAUCCAUAAAAUUUCAGUAACUAAAUCUAAAUCAGAAAGAGGCAGAGGUCCAAAAACAUAAAGGCUGUGGAGGACAGAGUCAUACUUCAGCUGCAGCUCAUUGCAGCAUCAUGCAGAAACCACACACACACACACACACACACACACACACAUGGCAAUAGCGGUUCGGAGAAGGCUUCUCCUUAAAUGGUCAAAGCUCCCAGGAGUCACAGGGAGGCUGGUGCAGGGAAAAAAGUCAGGGAGAGGAAAAGAGAGAAGACGCUGAAGAUUGUGGAGCUUUGAGGAAAGAUAUCAACAGGACAAAUACAAAGAGAGCUUUAAAGGAAAUAGUGGGCUGUUGAGAGAGCAUCUUUCAUCCCUGUUGGCCAAUCAGGUCAGCAAAAACCCAGAUGUAACCCUCCUAGAUCAGGACCCUGGUUCACCAUCUGAGCUUUGGCUGAGACGUGCUGUCAGUGUUUGCUACGAGCCAGUGUCUACAGGUCUUCCAUCUGUGGGAGUGCUUACCCUACAGAGUCCUGCUUUACUCUGUACAGAGAGCUCUUUGCCGGGACCGUCAGCUUUUGAGGAGCCCACGCAAAACAACAGACAAAAGAAUGUAGCUGGGUUAGGCCGGACAGCAAGCAAUGACAUCUUCCUCUCAGAGUCGGAGGCUAUUACGAACACCUUAAAUGUAAACGAGGAAACGUGCAGGAGUCUAAAUAUAGUAGAGACUGGAUGUGCAGGAACUGAGCUAGAAAACAGCAGAGGACAAACAGAGAGUUCUGGGAAGUGCCACAAAUCAGAAAAUAGCAGCAGGACAGAGGCCUUAAAACUUCUGAACCAAGGGCAGCCUUCCAAGUCAGCGGACGUCUGGGAUAUUCAAGGAUUCAAUUCAUCAGGGGAGACCCAAGUAGAGGAUACUGGGAGUUGUCAAGAGGGAAGAGAGGAUUCAGAUUGCACUGGGUGGAGUCAAGAGGAAUCUGAGAGCAGUGGACAGAGUCAAGCAAGGACAGGGAACAGUGAGACUCAAGAGGAACCCAAAACAAGUGACUCAGAAACAUCAAAGAAUCCGAGUGUCCAAGGUGAAGAUCUAACUGACAUUCCAGGGGAUCCCUCUACUGUAUGUCAGUUCACACACUCACAGAGUGAGCAGACUUCACUAAAGGGAGCUCAUAGUUUUGUGACCGAGUCGGUCACUCGUUUUAUCUUCCCUCACACACGUUCUCGGCCCCCGCUCAUCCCCACCAUGCCCACCCUUCCUGAGGAAGAGGAAGAUUCCCCAGAGGAGCUCAACAGUACAUCCAGCUCGCCCUGCACAGUGAGUCAAACUAUCUAUCACAUCAGGCUACAUUCACGCUGUCAGUCCAAAUCUGAAUAUUUAUGUAUCCAUUUCAAACUUUCCUUCUCCGUGUUCUGCGUUGGUUUCUUUGGCAAUGGCGUUGCAUUGUUAUGCCUAUUCUAGAAAUGGAUUUGUAAAAGUUGCAUUUCAUCUUUGUUGUUGUUUUUUUUUUUACUAAAUGUCUGAUAUGCAAAAAAAAAAAAAAAUGAUUUGGACCAAAAAUUGGGAUUUGGCCUGCAUGAAAAUGCAUUUUCACUUUCUGACAGUAGGUGGCACUUACGAAAAAGCAGAAAUGCAGAGGUACACAAGGGAAGCAUGUGCUACUUUCUGACUUCUGCAUGGCAAGUUAAAAAAGGGAGCAAAAGAUUAUUUACAUGGUUUCAAAGAGCUGUUCAAAUUUUUGGUCUAACAGUCCCACCAUGGAUUGAUGUAUAGCUGACCCAAUCUGGCUAAUCAAACACAGAUUGAGUCAAUUUAAUUUUGUGACUUGCAGUGCAAAAAUUACUCUCUUCACCUUCAAACACGUGCCCUAACCACAUUACAUCUGACACAUGAUUCUUUUAAAGAUGUUCAUCUGAGGAGGAAGAAAAUGCAUAUAAUCUUUUCCCGAAAGACAACAUUCCACUCUCUAUCAAGAUUCAGAUAUUAUCAGUACCCUAAUGCCACAGAAUGGAUAUUUGAAAUCCUACUAGUUUAAUGUCACGUUACACAGUUAGGGCCCCAAUGCCAAAGUUCUUUUUUUAUUUUAUUUUUUUUAUUCUUUGCUUAAGGGUAGAAGAGCAAAAAGAAGUUUGAAAUACAUGAGCAGUGUAUAUACACUGUGUAUAUCUGCUGGGAGCAGAAUUUAGAUGAAUAUGUACAUACAUUUGUUCUGCACACUUUUCUCUCGAUAACAAAAUGAACACACAACAAAAUGCGAAAACAGUAGUUAAGAAAGCAUUUGAUCAGUGGAUAUGUUUGCAGCAGCUCUGCAAUUCAGUCAAGUCACGUCACAUUUAUUUAUAUUGCACUUUAUACAAUAGAUUACUUUAAAGUAUGCAGCUUUAAAGUAUUAUUAAACAGUAUUACACUAUUCAACAUGGAAAAAACAAUGCCAGGGUCGUUUUCAGUUUACUUACAAUUGAUACUAUAAAGCAGAUCUGCAUUUUGUGUGUAAAGAAGGCGGAGCCCAGGAGCACACCUAUCUGUUAUGUAAUUGCCAUGGACCAAUGGUAGUUUGAAGGUGUUCACCAGCUGGAGCUAAUUUUUUUUUUCCAGAAAGUUCGUUUUGGCGAGUUGUUUUGAACUCCCAAAAUGAACUUCGUUUUGGCAUGAUUUAGUUUGAAAUGACAUCACACCAGUUUGUUCUUCGAUUUCGCUUGAAGUAUAUUAGGCGCUUUACGAAUGUCUCUCUAUCAUGGCCUAUGAGUGAGAAGAGCUAUUGCUUCACUUACGACAAGCUUCAGGAUUUACUGUUCUGUUUUCCUUUUGGAGAUCACAGAUCAUUUCAACAUCAAAGCCUGUCAGGGGUUGUUGUUUCAUUAUAGCCAUUAUGUUAUUCUUGAGUGAGUACAAUCCACUCAUGCUGUGACUCAUAAAAGGUUGGCAUUCAGAUAAGACCACUCUUUAAAAUCAUAUUACACUUCAGUAAUCUAAUCCCAGAAUAAAAGCCAAACAAAUAAAGCUUCCA